rnacentral:rRNA from 1 species
GUGGGGAAUAUUGGGCAAUGGGGGAAACCCUGACCCAGCGACGCCGCGUGAGGGAAGAAGGCCUUAGGGUCGUAAACCUCUGUUGUGUGGGAAGAAGAGCGUGACGGUACCACACGAGGAAGUCCCGGCUAACUACGUGCCAGCAGCCGCGGUAAUACGUAGGGGACGAGCGUUGUCCGGAUUUACUGGGCGUAAAGGGCGCGUAGGCGGUCAUUUAAGUCAGCUGUGAAAUGGUGUGGCUUAACCGGAUCAUGCGGUUGAAACUGGAUGAGUGGAGUGCUGGAGAGUCAAGUUGAAUUCCCAGUGUAGCGGUGAAAUGCGUAGAUAUUGGGAAGAACACCGGUGGCGAAGGCGACUUGCUGGCCAGCAAGUGACGCUGAGGCGCGAAAGCCAGGGGAGCAAACGGGAUUAGAUACCCUUGUAGUCC